CUAUUAAAAAAAGAAAAAAGAAAAGAAAAAAAAAGGGGUAAAACAAGCCAAGUUAAUCACAUCAACCUCCACGGAAACAAACAGAGCAACCCACCUUCCUCUUGUGGCGCUCAUUGCUCAAGCCAGGAAGUAAAAAAAAACCUCCAUCAUCCCACAAAAAUAUUUAAAGAGAAAAUUCAAAAUCUAUCAAGAAGAACUUAACAUUCAGUUGGAGAUCUCCCAUAUUCUUCUCCACGAUUCUGAGAUGGAAAACACCAAUUUUUUCCCUCCAAAAACCCCGGCAUAAUUUGUGCAUAUCAGGUUAUGGAAACUGCAAUUAGGUUUUAUUAUUUUCCUUAAUUAGUCUGUCUCUCUCGUUCUACGCAUCUAUUCCCGAAAUUAUUCAAAGAAAGCACGAACAAUCACUCCUAGCAGGCGGCACCGAUACGAAGAUCAACUCACGCAUUGAAAUUCAGUUGGUGUUAUUAUGUUCUACAGGUUCUGACAUGCUGCACUCCUUUGGUUUGCUAAUGGUCGUCAAUCCUGAAACGGAGAAAGGGAUAUUUGAUACUAUACUGCAAGGACAUAUUGAUUGUGAAAGUAAGCCGUGGCCAUCAAUCUCAAACGGUGCCAAGGACCUAGUGAAGAAGAUGUUGACACCGAAUCCUAAAAAAAGAGUAACUGCUGCUCAAGUUCUUGAUCAUCCAUGGCUCAAGGAUGGUGAAGCCUCUGACAAGCCAAUACAAUUUUCCCUGUGAACAUGUUGUCUGUUCUUCAUUGGCCAUAGCCUAUAGAUGUUGCUACAGUUGUUUGUAUCGUACUUUGUUGGUUCUACAGAUAGUUGUGUUCUGCUAUAAAUCUCUACAAGCCUCAAAUUCCGUUCUUCUCCGUUUAUGCUCAGUUAGCCAGGAGUCAAGAUGCAAUAGAGAUUGUAAGCCAAAGCUGCAGGGAAGUAGGGAAUUCGUAGUAGCAGUUGAAGACCUUAUCUGUUAUAAUUGGUUGUUUGAGCUCCUUUUAGGAACUUUUUAUCAUAAUUGACUAUGGUUAACUUUUCUAAGGGUUGUCUUACCUUUAUGGCUUUCAAAGUGUUGUUUUCCAGGUGUUUGUUUGUUUUAGCUUGUACAAACGCUAUUUCCUUUGGGUUAC